rnacentral:tRNA from 1 species
GUGUGCUUAGCGCCUGUGGUUAGCGCUUCAGACUUAAAACCGGAGGGUUGCCGGUUCGAAUCCCGACCAGUAGGCG